rnacentral:rRNA from 1 species
GCCUUUAGGUUCGGAAUAACUCAGGGAAACUUGUGCUAAUACCGAAUGUGCCCUUCGGGGGAAAGAUUUAUCGCCUUUAGAGCGGCCCGCGUCUGAUUAGCUAGUUGGUGAGGUAAUGGCUCACCAAGGCUACGAUCAGUAGCUGGUCUGAGAGGAUGACCAGCCACAUUGGGACUGAGACACGGCCCAAACUCCUACGGGAGGCAGCAGUGGGGAAUCUUGCGCAAUGGGCGAAAGCCUGACGCAGCCAUGCCGCGUGGAUGAUGAAGGUCUUAGGAUUGUAAAAUCCUUUCACCGGUGAAGAUAAUGACUGUAGCCGGAGAAGAAGCCCCGGCUAACUUCGUGCCAGCAGCCGCGGUAAUACGAAGGGGGCUAGCGUUGCUCGGAAUUACUGGGCGUAAAGGGAGCGUAGGCGGACAUUUAAGUCAGGGGUGAAAUCCCAGAGCUCAACUCUGGAACUGCCUUUGAUACUGGGUGUCUUGAGUGUGAGAGAGGUAAGUGGAACUCCGAGUGUAGAGGUGAAAUUCGUAGAUAUUCGGAAGAACACCAGUGGCGAAGGCGACUUACUGGCUCAUUACUGACGCUGAGGCUCGAAAGCGUGGGGAGC